UACAGAGGUCCCAAGCGUUGUUCGGAUUCAUUGGGCGUAAAGGGUGCGUAGGCGGCGCGGUAAGUCGGGUGUGAAAUCUCGGAGCUUAACUCCGAAACUGCAUUCGAUACUGCCGUGCUUGAGGACUGGAGAGGAGACUGGAAUUUACGGUGUAGAGGUGAAAUUCGUAGAUAUUCGCAAGAACACCAGUGGCGAAGGCGGCUCACUGGCCCGAUACUGACGCUAAGGCACGAAAGCGUGGGGAGCAAACAGG
rnacentral:rRNA from 1 species